AUUGAACGCUGGCGGCAGGCCUAACACAUGCAAGUCGAGCGGAGCGGCGGACGGGUGAGUAAUGUAUGGGGAUCUGCCCUGCACUUCGGGAUACGCCUGGGAAACUGGGUCUAAUACCGGAUAGUGUGGGAUGGGCCCGCGGCCUCUCAGCUUGUUGGUUGGGUAAUGGCCUACCAAGGCGGCGACGGGUCGCCGGCCUGAGAGGGUGGACAGCCAAAUUGGGACUGAGACACGGCCUAGACUACUACGGGGGGCAGGAGUGGGGAAUAUUGCACAAUGGGAGGAAGCAUGAGGCAGCGACGCCGCGGGGGGGAUGACGGCCUUCGGGUUGUAAACUCCUUUCACUAUCGACGCGGUAGAUGGAGAAGAAGCACCGGCUAACUACGUGCCAGCAGCCGCGGUAAUAC
rnacentral:rRNA from 1 species